rnacentral:rRNA from 1 species
AGAUUGAACGCUGGCGGCAUGCCUUACACAUGCAAGUCGAACGGUAACGGGCCUUCGGGUGCCGACGAGUGGCGAACGGGUGAGUAAUGUAUCGGAACGUACCAUUCAGUGGGGGAUAACGUAGCGAAAGUUACGCUAAUACCGCAUAUUCUGUGCGCAGGAAAGCAGGGGAUCGCAAGACCUUGCGCUGAUUGAGCGGCCGAUAUCAGAUUAGCUUGUUGGUGAGGUAAGAGCUCACCAAGGCGACGAUCUGUAGCGGGUCUGAGAGGAUGAUCCGCCACACUGGAACUGAGACACGGUCCAGACUCCUACGGGAGGCAGCAGUGGGAAUUUUGGACAAUGGGGGCAACCUGAUCCAGCCAUGCCGCGUGAGUGAAGAAGGCCUUCGGUUGUAAAGCUCUUUCAGCCGGAAGAAAACGCAUAGGGUUAAUACCCUGUGUGGAUGACGUACGAAUAAGAAGCACCGGCUAACACGUGCAGCAGUCGA